UACGAAGGGGGCUAGCGUUGCUCGGAAUUACUGGGCGUAAAGGGCGCGUAGGCGGCACUGUUAGUCAGGCGUGAAAGUCCUGGGCUCAACCUGGGAACUGCGCUUGAUACGGCAGAGCUAGAGGAUGGAAGAGGCUCGCGGAAUUCCCAGUGUAGAGGUGAAAUCGUAGAUAUUGGGAAGAACACCGGUGGCGAAGGCGGCGAGCUGGUCCAUUACUGACGCUGAGGCGCGACAGCGUGGGGGAGCAACAGG
rnacentral:rRNA from 1 species